CACCAAAUCAAGAAAACAGUUAUUGUGGUUAGGAAUAUUGCAUAUCUGCAACAGGCCGGCAGAAAGAAAACCAUCUACAAUAACCAUCUCGCGCUGGGAGCUGACUUGAUCGGGUUCAAAUCGCCGACAACAAUUACAACAACAAAACGAGCGAUACCGUUCAACACUAGAGCCCUAGCAUGUUCAGUGCUGGUGAGACGGUUGUGGACGGCAACUAAUACACCUCCUCCGGAUAGCUUUUCACUAUUGGAGAUGUUUCUGUCGCAGCGAUAGACGGCGUUGUUGUUUCCGAUGUAUUUAUUGAUUUUUUCGAGUUUAAGCUAAAAAUUAUUGUUAUAGGCCUUAUUAGCUUCUUUAUAUACCUUGAAAAUUUCACAAACAUGCAUUGGCAUUAAAACGAAAGGGGAAUUUAUAGGACUUAUCACCUAAUUUUCAGUGCGCCUUUUUGACGAGCUGCAAUAUAGCGCUUUAUAGCUAUCCAGCUUUUUACGCGCUAUAAUGGCGGACGCUAUAAAUUGUGUUCGUAAUAUGUGAUCAAUCUUUUUGACAACUCUGCAUCCAUCAAAACUGGGCACUCUUCUCCUGUACGGCAGUGUUGCUCUUUCUUUCGUUUACGCAAAAGAAGGAAGGCAAUAGUUUUGUUUACAUUUCGCACAGUUUUGCUUUCCUUCUUUGACGUAAACGAAAGAAAGAGAACGGUAGUGUUGCAAGAGAAGAGUGCCAGAUUUGAUGUAUGCAGAGUUGUCAAAAAGAUUGUUCGCAUUUUACGAACACAAUUUAUAGCGGCCACCAUUAUAGCGCGUAAAAAGCUGGAUAUCACAAAACAUUUCAUGGUAUUGGAAACCAUAACCCUAUAACCAAGAAACAGAUACAAUGAAACCCGGCGAAUUUUGCUGCUUAACGACAAAAUCUUGAUA